CGAAGGGGGCUAGCGUUGUUCGGAAUCACUGGGCGUAAAGCGUAUGUAGGCGGAUCAAAAAGUUAGAUGUGAAAUCCCUGGGCUCAACCCAGGAACUGCAUUUAAAACUAGUGAUCUAGAAAUUGGUAAGGGUUAGUAGAAUUUCCAGUGUAGAGGUGAAAUUCGUAGAUAUUGGAAAGAAUACCAGAAGCGAAGGCGACUAACUAGGCCAUUUUUGACGCUGAGAUACGAAAGCGUGGGUAGCAAACAGGAUUAGAUACCCUGGUAGUCCACGCAGUAAACGAUGAGUGCUAGUCGCUGGGACAAUAGUUUCAGUGUCGAAGCUAACGCAUUAAGCACUCCGCCUGGGAAGUACGGUCGCAAGAUUAAAACUCAAAUAAAUUGACGGGGGCCCGCACAAGCGGUGGAGCAUGUGGUUUAAUUCGAAGCAACGCGAAGAACCUUACCAGACCUUGACAUGGUGUGUUUGAAAUACAGAAUAGUAUUUCUUCAGUUCGGCUGGCACACACACAGGUGCUGCAUGGCUGUCGUCAGCUCGUGUCGUGAGAUGUUGGGUUAAGUCCCGCAACGAGCGCAACCCUCAUUUUUAGUUGCCAUCAGGUUAUGCUGGGCACUCUAGAAAAACUGCCGGUGAUAAGCUGGAGGAAGGCGGGGAUGACGUCAAGUCCUCAUGGCCCUUACGGUCUGGGCUACACACGUGCUACAAUGGUGGUGACAGAGGGCAGCAAUAUCGCAAGAUAAAGCUAAUCCCAAAAAACCAUCUCAGUUCGGAUUGGACUCUGCAACUCGAGUCCAUGAAGUUGGAAUCGCUAGUAAUCGUAGAUCAGCGUGCUACGGUGAAUACGUUCUCGGGCCUUGUACACACCGCCCGUCACGCCAUGGGA
rnacentral:rRNA from 1 species